rnacentral:lncRNA from 1 species
AUUUGUAACUUUAAGUUUCUCCUUUUUGAAUAAGCAUCAAAACACACAAACACAUGUGCAUAUAUGUGUAUAUACAUGUAUAUGUAUGUAUAUGUAUACGUACAUAUGUAUGCAUGUCUGUAUAUAUGUAUGUAUGUAUGUGAUCAAUCCCCAGGGUAAAUUUUGGAUUCACCAUAUGAUAUGGUUCACAAUUUCCAACCAAGUUAGUCAAAUCUCAAGCAAAAGCACCGCAAAGUGGUCCUUUUUGACUCAACCCACCAAAUGACCAUGUUCGGUCAACUUGAAUAAGUACCAAAGGUCCAAAACAAAUAUCUAAGUUUAAGAAGAAAGUUCUGUUCCUUAACAAUUUGGUGAGAAAAGAUUAAAGAACAGAUAAAAAUUUCCUGCAUGGUUUAGAAAUGAAGAAAACUCUUACAUUUAGUUAAUUCUAAAAAAUGCAUAUUUGUUCGGAUAUGAGUUAGGACGGUGUAAGGGAGAUGUCUAAGGGAGUAGUGAUUAACAAGAUAAGUGGACAUACUAUGCAACAUUGUUUUAUUAUCCUUGCAAAAUGAAACCGACCACUGAACUUAUGAUGAACCACCAUUGGUGUCAUUUCAUUGCUUUGGCCAAAAGGGAUGGAAGUGUGUUCAAAAAGACAUUUUUCUGGAUGAAAAGUAGGUCUUCAUUAAAGACAAGAUGCUUCAUCCUAAUAAGCUGCUGCAGAUGCUUCUGCAUGCCUGCCUUUACAGGGCUUUUGUCUUUUGAACAUCACUGAUCUUUGCAACUAUCUGGUUAGUUUAAAAAUCUCUCAUUAAUUCCAUUUGUUUUCUGAGCUUAUUUUAUCCAAUUAUUUGAAACAAAUUAACCUUGAUUUUUUCUGGUUACGUUUAACAUGCUUAUAUCAUAGUUUAUUGGCAUAAUUAUUGUCCUUUUUCGAAUCCAUGCAACAAGUAGUCAUUGCUUUUUCCAUAGCCUAUGAUCUCUCUCCCACUCCCAUUUUCAAAUUUGUUUCAAAGUAGUAAAGUAGCAUGGAUAUUCAAAAAGCUGAACCUAAUGAUUAGAAAAUAGCUAGUUAGAUAUUUUUAAGUUUACAUGCAACAAGUAGUCAUUGCCUUUUCCAUAGCCUAUGAUCUCUCUCCCACUCUCAUUUUCAAAUUUGUUUCAAAGUAGUAAAGUAGCAUGGAUAUUCAAAAAGCUGAACCUAAUGAUUAGAAAAUAGCUAGUUAGAUAUUUUUAAGUUUACACCAGCAUUAGAUGAGUGAAAUUUCUACAAGUCUUCUCUGCUUCUAAUCAACUAUUCCUACUUAAAAGGACAGGUUCUCGACACUUUAUCUUAAAGCAAACUUAUAAUUCUGUAGUACAAUUAACUAACCUAACUAAAAGCAUUCAAUUAUUCUUCAUCACUUGUGAUUAAUAAAACAAGUAUAAAAGGUGGCCUAGUGGUUCAUAGAUGUGAAGAAAUGAAAAAACAAAGCAAUGAACAAGAUACCACUUACAGGAUACUC